GGGGUACAAACAUGGCAGCCAUUUUGAGCACCAGUCAAAUCCAGCCUACCCUACCACUGCAAGGAGCAGGUAGAGCUGCCUGAGGUAACAGACUGAAUCUGUGGGUUGGAUUUCAUUAGUUUCCUGUAAUUUUACAGAGGGUUCCUGUACAAAAUCCAGCUGUAGUUUCUCAGCAGAAUGAAUUUACUGUCUGUGCACAUACCUGAAGUCAUAUUGAGGAAUUCUGUAGCACAGAAUUGGUAAAUCACAAAUAAAAGAAGGGCAUAUUUGGAAGUUAGUUGCCUACUCCAUAUGAACUGGUAAGAGGGAGCAGUAAAGGGAAAAGGACCUUGUAUGCCAGUUUUCUUAAAUAAUCUGAUUGAAUACUACAAUAAAUGUGUGGAUCAGGAACAGUGGACUGGAUUCUCCAUGGCAUAGUUACUUGUCUAGUUAUUAAUAUUUGUGUAAAGGGAGCAUAUAAUGUUGCAUUUUGGAUUUGUAAUAUUUUAUAUGCAAUUUGUUCACCCUUUGCAAUGUGUAAAUGACUACAUCUAGUACAGGAUGGUGCUAUAUCUAUCUGGGCAUCUAUAUUUAAAUUGUGUAUACAUGCUUGAGUACAUUUUUAUUACAUUUUGUUACACUGAGAUUUAGGCUCUCAAACUUUUUUUUUUUUUGCUCUUGAGAUGUAACUUCCUAUGUAUAAAUUGUUUUUCAUGUAACUUAUUCAGAAUGCAUGAAUAUUACUUAUGAAUAUAAAUUUGCACUGCAUUAUGCUCCAUAUAUAUAUCCAGUGGUGAAUCUCUUGAAUGUGCUUACAUUGGGUGCAUUCUAUUAUUUUAUCAUAAAGUAUUGAUGAAGACUCAAAUUGUAUUAUGCCCCAGAACUAUUGAAGGAGCUACUAUAACUCUUUGGGAAUCAGAAAAAUGGCUCUUAUUUCUAGAAGAUUUAUGUUGAAAUUCUGCUGAGUAAAGUGCACAAGGCCUUCUUUGCUUGUUCCAUCUCUGCUUUUGGGCUUUAAACCUCAAAAUGCUUCAAGUAUUUUGACAGAGUAAUACUGAGUUUCAGGAAACAGUAAAUGUCUGGACUGGCUCGUUUUACAUGAAGAAAAUGAGCAAAAUGCUAGUAGAAUUAAUUCUAAGAGAUUAGAGCCCUUAAGCAAUAACAAAUGUUGCUAGUAGUGAUGGUUGUAGUAUGCUCUAAAGACGUUACAGGUCUCCAUAUAGUAUAGGCCAGCAUCUGUGUUGUGUGGGUGGUUAUCACAUAUUCUGCUGUUUUUGUAGCCAUUCUGAAUAGCAACUCAUGGUCUGGCACAUGGGGAGAGGUGAAAACUUGCUGACAGUAUGUUUGUGAUUCCUGCAUUUAAAUUCUCCCUGAGCAUCAAACUUCAGUCUGUUGACUGCAGCUGAGACUCAGCAUACAGUCUUGAUGAAUGGCUAGUCAAACCUUCAGAGUAAAGUGAAAGAAAAUGUAAAAAAAACUAAAACCCAUCACC